GAUGAAGAACGCAGUGAAAUGCGAUAAGUAAUGUGAAUUGCAGAAUUCAGUGAAUCAUCGAAUCUUUGAACGCACAUUGCGCCCGCCAGUAUUCUGGCGGGCAUGCCUGUUCGAGCGUCAUUACAACCCUCAGGCCCCCGGGCCUGGCGUUGGGGAUCGGCAGAAGCCCCCUGUGGGCACACGCCGUCCCUCAAAUACAGUGGCGGUCCCGCCGCAGCUUCCAUUGCGUAGUAGCUAACACCUCGCAACUGGAGAGCGGCGCGGCCAUGCCGUAAAACACCCAACUUCUGAAUGUUGACCUCGAAUCAGGUAGGAAUACCCGCUGAACUUAAGCAUAUCAAUAAGCGGGGA
rnacentral:misc_RNA from 1 species